rnacentral:rRNA from 1 species
CAGUCGCCGCGGGAAUACGUAGGGUGCGAGCGUUAAUCGGAAUUACUGGGCGUAAAGCGUGCGCAGGCGGUUGUGCAAGACAGAUGUGAGAUCCCCGAGCUUAACUUGGGAACUGCAUUUGUGACUGCACGGCUAGAGUGUGUCAGAGGGGGGCAGAAUUCCACGUGUAGCAGUGAAAUGCGUAGAUAUGUGGAGGAAUACCGAUGGCGAAGGCAGCCCCCUGGGAUAACACUGACGCUCAUGCACGAAAGCGUGGGGAGCAAACAGGAUUAGAUACCCCCGUAGUCCCUGUCUCUUAUAC